AGAAGGAACAACUACAGUGGCGGUGGCCAGCUCUAGAGCCCUGGAUUCAGUUCCCGCUGUAACUCCGGAGCUCUCUAUCUGCAGGGCCUGGAGGCUCCGGGGGCGG
rnacentral:pre_miRNA from 1 species